GGAGUUGACUAGGCAGCCGCAGGUAGGUGUAGGUCUACGUGAGGAAAGUCCGGACUCCACAGGGCAAAGGUGAUGGCUAACAGCCACCCGGGGUGACCCGCGGGAAAGUGCCACAGAAAAUAACCGCCUGGCCUAGGCCAGGUAAGGGUGAAAAGGUGGGGUAAGAGCCCACCGCGCGGCUGGUGACAGGCGUGGCUAGGUAAACCCCACCUGGAGCAAGAUCAGACAGCGAGUAGGCCGGCCCGGCUAGCUUGCGGGUAGAUCGCUGGAGGUGCGUGGCAACACGCAUCCUAGAGAAAUGGCUGCCACCGGGGUGCGGUAACGCUAACCGGCAACAGAAUCCGGCUUACUGGCAGCUCCUCCG
rnacentral:RNase_P_RNA from 1 species